UACGGAGGGGGCUAGCGUUGUUCGGAAUUACUGGGCGUAAAGCGCGCGUAGGCGGCUUUGUAAGUCAGAGGUGAAAGCCUGGAGCUCAACUCCAGAACUGCCUUUGAGACUGCAUCGCUAGAAUCAUGGAGAGGUAAGUGGAAUUCCGAGUGUAGAGGUGAAAUUCGUAGAUAUUCGGAAGAACACCAGUGGCGAAGGCGGCUCACUGGUCCGGUACUGACGCUGAGGUGCGAAAGCGUGGGGAGCAAACAGG
rnacentral:rRNA from 1 species